AAUGCGUAUAUUCAGAUGAAAUUAAGUUAUGAAAAGCACAGCCAUUUAUUACAUGUGUUAAGAUUUUGUGAAAUAUGGAAAAAUCAAGUAUUUUAAAAGACUUCUAAAUUGACACAGCGUCCGUCUCCCGCAUGUUUACGUAGAACACAACGAUUUAAAAGAAGCGGAAUGCAAAAUCGCGUUCUGAGCGUCUCAACUACUGCUAAAUCGCUACAAAAUGAACAGGCCUACAUGUCAACAAUCGCUCCUCAGCGAAUCAUUAGCUCUGCUUUCAGUUGAUUUUAAAUAAAUCCAUUUACACUGAUCUAAAACCAGAAACAUAUCCAGACCCUCCCACUCGGUAGCUUGUGCAGGCCGUCACCUGUUCUCCGUUCCCCAGAUGGAUGAUGGGACGAACCAACUUCUCUGUGAAAGCGAGAUUUCAACCCACGUCACUUUAGAGCCAAUCUCAUUAAGGUUUCUGUGCUCCAGGCCUGCCUCUAACACUCCAGGACGGCUUCCACGCUGCUGACAAGAUUACUAGCCGAGGUCCUCGUGGGUCAGGAGAUGAUUCCAGCUGUUCCUCAUCACAAAGGCAACUCAGAGUCAGUAACCUCCCCCACCCAGCGCAUGGUGCACCUCUUCCGACUGACUAAACUUUGAGCCCUGAGCCAGCGUGUGGCUCAUCAUGCUUCUUCUCGUCUCCUGGGGCUGUGAGAAAAGUGACAUGAGAAGCAUUCCUUCAUCAUCAUCACCGCAUUAUUUAGAUGCCCACCGUACUCUCGCUGUCACGUUCCACCUGGCUCGGAGGUUUCCAUGGAAACGGUGCGGAGUG